rnacentral:tRNA from 1 species
GCCCUCGUAGCUCAAUAGGAUAGAGCGUUCGCCUCCUAAGCGAAAGGCUUCCCGUUCGAUUCGGGACGAGGGUACUA